rnacentral:rRNA from 1 species
GACGAACGCUGGCGGCGUGCUUAACACAUGCAAGUCGAACGGUGAAGCCCUUCGGGGUGGAUCAGUGGCGAACGGGUGAGUAACACGUGAGCAACCUGCCCCUGGCUCUGGGACAACCACUGGAAACGGUGGCUAAUACCGGAUACGACCCGCCUCGGCAUCGAGUGUGGGUGGAAAGUUUUUCGGCUGGGGAUGGGCUCGCGGCCUAUCAGCUUGUUGGUGAGGUGAAGGCUCACCAAGGCGACGACGGGUAGCCGGCCUGAGAGGGCGACCGGCCACACUGGGACUGAGACACGGCCCAGACUCCUACGGGAGGCAGCAGUGGGGAAUAUUGCACAAUGGGCGAAAGCCUGAUGCAGCGACGCCGCGUGAGGGAUGACGGCCUUCGGGUUGUAAACCUCUUUCAGCUCCGAAGAAGCGAAAGUGACGGUAGGAGCAGAAGAAGCACCGGCUAACUACG